GUAGCUAAGGCCCAAUAGUUUUUGAUCUACAAAGGCCCAAUAUAUUGGUAAAGUGUAUACAUCAAUUACUUGACAAAAUAUGGCCCAAAAUUAGUCAAUAAAUUCGUCCAAGAGCAUCUCCUAUUUAUGGAUUGAAAUCAGCAAUUUUUCUCAUUUUAACUUAGACAAAAUUUCCAGCUUUCUAGGGUUUUCUCUCUUGUUCUCUCUUGGCUAUGAAACAUCCCUAUAAUUCCACCAGGGUUCUUGGGAUUGAACUUCCUUCCAAGAUAAAGGGAUUAAUAUAUUGAAGAAAUACACAUUAAGAUACUAAAAUACCAAGGAAAUCAAGAUAAGCAAUCUAAAAGUACGGGAAGUCGAGUUGGGCUGGUAUUGGAGUUUUACAACCAGGGGGACUUAUAUUUCAUACUAUAGGCACAGGUGCUUCAGCAAACACGCCUCCUCAGUAGGAGCCUAGGAUAUCCAUCUGCUAUUGGUGAGCUCUAGUUUGCUUCGGGGAUUUCCGUGUCGGUUUCGUAUAUUUUUGGUAUUGUAUAAAAGUUAAUAGUAUGGCGGGGGUUUGUCCCGACCUUAGCUAAAUUUUGUGUAUCGUCUAGAGGCUUUGUGGACCAAUGUAAAUUUAAGCAUGGUAGUGUGUUAUCUUGUAGAUGUUAUGGCCUCAACGGCCAAGUCUAUUAUGUAUAUAGUUUUAGGGCUUGUCGUUUAUAUUUUUUUUCAUUAAGGAAUUAUAUCCGUAUAUGGAAAAACCUUUGCCUAUUAUAGUUGCAAGCAUGUGAAUUCCAAUGUUAUAGGUUGGUUCUCUCAGGCCUUCAUGGCUACGGGUGCCUGUCCACCCCAAUAGGAUUUGAGGCGUGACAAAAG